AAUAUUGAGACAGUGGUGCGCAACGCUGAUCAGCCAUACCGCGUGGAGUGAAGAAGGCCUUCAGGGUUGUAAAGCCCUUUUGUUGGGAAAGAAAUCCAGCCGGCUAAUACCUGGUUGGGAUGACGGUACCCAAAGAAUAAGCACCGGCUAACUUCGUGCCAGCAGCCGCGGUAAUA
rnacentral:rRNA from 1 species